ACUCAAAGGAAUUGACGGGGGCCCGCACAAGCGGUGGAUCAUGUGGUUUAAUUCGAAGCAACGCGAAAAACCUUACCUGGAUUUGACAUCCCUGGACAGCUGUAGAGAUACAGUCUUCGUAGCAAUACGACCGGGAGACAGGUGCUGCAUGGCUGUCGUCAGCUCGUGUGGUGACAUGUUGGGUUAAGUCCCGCAACGAGCGCAACCCUUGUCUUUAGUUGCCAGCAUUAAGUUGGGCACUCUAGAGAGACUGCCGUGGUUAACACGGAGGAAGGUGGGGAUGACGUCAAGUCCUCAUGGCCUUUAUAUCCAGGGCGACACACGUGAUACAAUGGUCGGUACAGAGGGCAGCCAACCCGCAAGGGGGAGCUAAUCUCAAAAAGCCGAUCUCAGUUCGGAUUGGAGUCUGCAAUUCGACUCCAUGAAGUUGGAAUCGCUAGUAAUCGCGGAUCAGAACGCCGCGGUGAAUACGUUCCCGGGCCUUGCACACACCGCCCGU
rnacentral:rRNA from 1 species